UACGGAGGGAGCAAGCGUUACUCGGAAUUAUUGGGCGUAAAGGGCGCGUAGGCGAUUUGAAAAGUCUUGUGUGAAAGCCCCGAGCUUAACUCGGGAAGUGCACAAGAAACUGUUGAAUUUGAGUUCCGGAGAGGAAGGCAGAAUUCCUGGUGUAGCGGUGAAAUGCGCAGAUAUCAGGAGGAACACCGGUGGCGAAGGCGGCUUGCUGGGCCAGUUCUGACGCUGAGGAGCGAAAGCGUGGGGAGCGAACAGG
rnacentral:rRNA from 1 species